GGCAGUUCUUGGGUGACCCACCCCAGAAUUGGGCUCCCUCCUCUCUGGUUUUGGGGUGUGUCACCUGAGAACCACA
rfam:Myotis lucifugus cont2.12405, whole genome shotgun sequence.